AUGACAAGCACCUUUGUCGUUGCAUAAGUAAAUUUCUGAAAAAACAUGACAAAGACCUCUAAAGAGUCUAACAUGAAAGUAUCAACUAAAUGAACAAUCUCAUAAGUAGACAAACAUAAAGAAACUGUUAGAACACUCAUGAAAACAAAAGCAAAAACCGAUUGACCGACAUUACCUAAAAGAACUAAUAAGAACUUCUCCCAUCUCCCUCGAUGAUCACAUCUUCAAA
rnacentral:misc_RNA from 1 species